rnacentral:rRNA from 1 species
GUCCAUGCCGUAAACGUUGGGCGCUAGGUGUGGGGGACAUUCCACGUCCUCCGUGCCGCAGCUAACGCAUUAAGCGCCCCGCCUGGGGAGUACGGCCGCAAGGCUAAAACUCAAAGGAAUUGACGGGGGCCCCGCACAAGCGGCGGAGCAUGCGGAUUAAUUCGAUGCAACGCGAAGAACCUUACCUGGAUUUGACAUAUACGAGAAGCCUCUAGAGAUAGAGGUCUCUUUGGACACUUGUAUACAGGUGGUGCAUGGCUGUCGU